rnacentral:rRNA from 1 species
GCAAGUCGAACGAGCGAGAGAGAGCUUGCUUUCUCGAGCGAGUGGCGAAUGGGUGAGUAACGCGUGAGGAACCUGCCUCAAAGAGGGGGACAACAGUUGGAAACGACUGCUAAUACCGCAUAAGCCCACGGGUCGGCAUCGACCAGAGGGAAAAGGAGCAAUCCGCUUUGAGAUGGCCUCGCGUCCGAUUAGCUAGUUGGUGAGGUAAUGGCCCACCAAGGCGACGAUCGGUAGCCGGACUGAGAGGUUGAACGGCCACAUUGGGACUGAGACACGGCCCAGACUCCUACGGGAGGCAGCAGUGGGGAAUAUUGCACAAUGGGGGAAACCCUGAUGCAGCGACGCCGCGUGGAGGAAGAAGGUCUUCGGAUUGUAAACUCCUGUUGUUGAGGAAGAUAAUGACGGUACUCAACAAGGAAGUGA